rnacentral:rRNA from 1 species
UGGGGAAUAUUGCACAAUGGGCGAAAGCCUGAUGCAGCGACGCCGCGUGAAGGAUGACGGCCUUCGGGUUGUAAACCUCUUUCAGCAGGGACGAAGCGCAAGUGACGGUACCUGCAGAAGAAGCACCGGCUAACUACGUGCCAGCAGCCGCGGUAAUACGUAGGGUGCAAGCGUUGUCCGGAAUUACUGGGCGUAAAGAGUUCGUAGGCGGUUUGUCGCGUCGUUUGUGAAAACCAGCAGCUCAACUGCUGGCUUGCAGGCGAUACGGGCAGACUUGAGUACUGCAGGGGAGACUGGAAUUCCUGGUGUAGCGGUGAAAUGCGCAGAUAUCAGGAGGAACACCGGUGGCGAAGGCGGGUCUCUGGGCAGUAACUGACGCUGAGGAACGAAAGCGUGGGUAGCGAACAGG